GGCAGGUCGGACUGCGUGUUUGCUCGUUUUGUCCCGGAGCUAUGCCACGCUGAGGUCCCGACUGCCCUGACCCGUUUUGGACUGCUGCUGCUUUGUGUGGGGAUAAAACCCACACUUUUUACGGACCUUGCCUGCUGCUGCGUUCGGGUGCUGAGGGCCUCACUGGUGAUCCUGUUUGGUGAUGGUGUCCCUUCGUGUGUAGUGUCUUAUUCACUCCCCUCCUUUGUUUUGCUUUGCCCUUGUGUGUUUGGAGUGUUAAUUUUGGAUUGUGGUGCUCCCAUUUUAAGUUUAUACUUUCACCCCUCACUCACCUUGAGCACAAAUGCCCCAGCCCUGGAAUACAUGAUAAUUUAUACAAAUAGGAUAACUUUUUUAGAUUUGAAUUGUGCCCAAUAAACUGUUGUAUAUGCUUUUGGAAACACGUCUCUCGCCUGCUCAGUGUAACGAACUUGUGUCGUCCUUUUGUUUAGAUUUAGUAAUUUACCUUAUUCAUAGAUUUCUUUCUUUUCCCUGGGUGAUUUCUCCCAGGGUGGCGUUGCUGGUUUCCUUUAGUUUCUUUCUUUUUCCCCUAGUUAAAAACCAUAGAUUAUUGGGGUAGUUCCUACCCCACCUCACGCUUGCCACAAACUUGGCGUUGCUGGCAGGACUUAUACUGAAAAAAAAAAGGCAGAGACGUGUGUUCCUUUGUUUUUGUUGUUUGUUUUUUGUUUUUUUGAAUAAGACAAAGCAGCAGCAGUCCCCUGGCAACCAUGGAGGAAGAAAUGCAAGAGUUGCGAGCUCUGGUUGCGCAGUUAAAGGCUGACAAUGAGAGGUUGCGUCAAGCUUCGUUGGUGCCGCCCUCUAGUGCUACACCUUCAACCUCCUCAGUACUGCCGACUGCCCUUACUUCUGCCAGUGCCCCUGCAGCCGAGAGGUGCUGAGGGCCUCACUGGUGAUCCUGUUUGGUGAUGGUGUCCCUUCGUGUGUAGUGUCUUAUUCACUCCCCUCCUUUGUUUUGCUUUGCCCUUGUGUGUUUGGAGUGUUAAUUUUGGAUUGUGGUGCUCCCAUUUUAAGUUUAUACUUUCACCCCUCACUCACCUUGAGCACAAAUGCCCCAGCCCUGGAAUACAUGAUAAUUUAUACAAAUAGGAUAACUUUUUUAGAUUUGAAUUGUGCCCAAUAAACUGUUGUAUAUGCUUUUGGAAACACGUCUCUCGCCUGCUCAGUGUAACGA
ensembl:lncRNA